rnacentral:lncRNA from 1 species
GCCGUUCCGAAAAACGGAAGGACAGAGAUAGUAGCGGCGCCCACACCGCAGUUGUGCGUGAGGAGCCGGCGCAGUGUAUGUGUAGCUUCCGUUCUUGAGAGAACAUUUUUUUCUUGUCCGGGGGCCCGGCCUACGAGAAACGCGGCUUCCCCUGCUGUAAGCGGGUUCUCCCCUGCAACACAAACCACGUCUCCCAAGUUUGGGUUCGUCGAAGGGGCUGUCGGUACUCCGUCCUCGCGAGCUCUGUUCGGAGGCCAGCCAGGGUUGCUACUGUCUGUGGUCUAGGUCGGACCUUCGGGUGUUUCGGCCAACACUGUACACCGCGGUGGUAUUCGCGGGAGGAGAGCGCUCGAGAGAUGCAGGAACCCCACCGUCGCGUCACGCAGUCGCACAUUCCUGAGUUUAGUGGACGUCUCUGUAUGGGCACUUGGUCUUGGCAAAGGCGGGGCCUCCAGUCACUAGCGGCGCAACAGGGACCAUAGAAUGUGCCGCUCACAGCGAUCUUUUGCGGCCAAGUGAAAGCAUUAACAUGCACCGGGAUUGUUAACUGCUUCAGCCCUACGAAGCGUGUGGUCUGGUGACUUCAUCCUGUGACGCUUGCUGUCUCGUGGGUCUCGUGACCGGGUAUCGCUUCCCACGGUGGUAGAGAAAGGUAACUGGGGGGGCGCAAAUUUAUCGGGAAACUAGCCAUCCGUUUCCCCUGGAUCGGCUGUCAGGUCGCGUGGACCAACUUGGGUGGUAUUUCGUUGUGAACAUACAGACUGGUUGCAGGGGGACACACAACAGAGUUGCCAGCAGAAUGUCGCGCCCGAGGACAUUUGACGCAGCGUCUGAACUGUUUCAUCUCAGCGGGCUAGGUUGACAACGGGGUUGCUGACCGCAGGACUAACAGCCACUGGCAGACGCAUUCACCUGACGCAAAGAACAGAAAGACUUCAUUUCGACAGGGAAUUGCUGCCUCGGGAAAGACGGGGGUGUCUUGCAACGUGCGACUCGGCUGCAGGCUCGUUCCGGAAAACAGCUUUUGGGGGGCAGCGCAGCUGAAGGGUAGCUGGUCGACUCAGAGGUCCAGGUAGAGCUGCUAUUGAGUGGUUAUCUGCACGAGGGUUGCCGACACAACUCAUCUGGUGACGAAGGUCAUGACGGGUCAGGUGCGAAUGCAUGCAGGCAGACCAGUAUUUUGGAAGAAACAGAAGCGAGGAAUCCUGCUAGACGGGCUCCCUCGGUGGUGAGUGAACAAGUGCCGUGUUGUUGAGCCUUUAUGCGUCUCUCACAGGGUUCUAGACUACAUGGUAGCCUGUUGGCAGACGCAGCGGCAAAAAUUGCACGGUAACAGAGAUGUGGCG